rnacentral:tRNA from 1 species
GGUCAGUUAGCUCAGCUUGUCAGAGUAUGGUGCUACUAACACCAAAGUCAUAGGUUCAAUCCCCAUACUGGCCA